rnacentral:rRNA from 1 species
UAGGGAAUUUUGCGCAAUGGGGGAAACCCUGACGCAGCAACACCGCGUGAAUGUUAAGCCCUUCGGGGUGUAAAGUUCUGUCAGUAGGGACGAAAUUUGACCGUACCUACAAAGGAAGCACCGGCUAACUCCGUGCCAGCAGCCGCGGUAAUACGGGGGGUGCAAGCGUUGUCCGGAAUCAUUGGGCGUAAAGCGUUCGUAGGCGGUAUAUCAAGUCUGGUGUUAAAGCCCGGGGCUCAACUCCGGUUCGGCACUGGAUACUGGUAAACUAGAAUGCGGUAGAGGUAAGGGGAAUUCCUGGUGUAGCGGUGAAAUGCGUAGAUAUUACACAGAACACCUAUUGCGAAGGCAGCUGACAAAACCAUUAUUGACGCUGAGGCACGAAAGUGUGGGGAUCAAACA